rnacentral:rRNA from 1 species
UACGUAGGGGGCAAGCGUUGUCCGGAUUUAUUGGGCGUAAAGAGCUCGUAGGCGGUUUGGUAAGUCGGAUGUGAAGAUCUCCAGGCUCAACCUGGAGGGGUCAUUCGAUACUGCCAUGACUAGAGUUCGGUAGGGGAGUGUGGAAUUCCUGGUGGAGCGGUGAAAUGCGCAGAGAUCAGGAGGAACACCCGUAGCGAAGGCGGCACUCUGGGCCGAUACUGACGCUGAGGAGCGAAAGCGUGGGGAGCGAACAGG